AGGCCAGAAUAAGAACAAUGUU
rnacentral:miRNA from 14 species